CACUGAUCUUUGGGAAGGACACACCUAUACUCUCUCUCAGAAUUGGAUGUAUAACCCUCCCACACCCAGCUCCGGCCAAGGCAGUGCGGUUGCCAUGGCAACCUCUAGGGUUCAGCUGGAUCAUGUCAUCAAUGGGUGUCAACUCUGCAUCUCCACCCCCAUAGCUGGCCAUGCUGACUUGUGAGAGCACAUGUCCUCAGGGGUAUAAGAAUGGGGGCAAACCCCUGGGUAAGAUGCCAGAAUCUCAACACCACUCACAAGACUGGCAUCAGAUCACAGACAGCUGACAUCUCGACGGCCUAAAGGUUUCACCGGGGAAGCUUGAUGACUAAGCUAAGCGACAGCAGUGGACAGCAAACACGUGGCAGGUUAACUACUGGUACCUUGUUGCAGGAUCAGAUAGGAAGACACUUGCAAACCGCAAGUGCUCGAGAAUCAAAAGCCCACUAGUACCUUUAUUCCACCUGUAGAAAAAAAUAUUAAACAAAUGAGAAGACACACAGACAGAUAUGUCACCACUCAUCCAGCCUUCAAAUGGACCACAGAUGAAUACUAGUCAUGAAUGUGACUGGCCACGGCAGGCUGUCAUCCAUGUCUACCAGCAGAUACUUGUGUUCUGGGCUAUUUUCAUGGUGGGCCGAGAGCUGCACCACCGGGAACAUCAACAAACAGUAGGCUGCAUUAAAUGCUUGGAAAUAAAUGCGGUUAUACAGUACUGUAUUCAGAGUGGGCCUCAUCUACGUUCCUUUAUAUAUCCAAUUAUGGAUACUGCAACUGCUCCUAUGAUAGGCAAAACAGCUUCACAAGAAAAAUAAAUCUUAAGUUUCAUGAAAGCUAUGAUAACAUUGCUAAGUUCUUUUAGUAUUACUUACUGUUAAACUUAUUAUAGUUUUAGCUGUAUACAUACAAAUGUAUUGUAAAUACUUUGCAAUUGUUUUGUAGCACCAGAUGGAGAUACAAGUUUAAAAAUAUUCACCAUAGCAUUUCAUUUGACUUGUACCAUCUGGAAAGAACAAGAAAUGUUGUAAGUAGUUGAAUACUGUAAUGAUCAUGAAAGAUGUUUAAAAUCUGCCAUCCCCAGAACACAGACUAAACACUUUUUAUUUGACAGAGAAAAAGUGGAUGUAAAAAAAAAAAAAAAUGACAUUGUUCAAAAAUGAUCUAAAAUAUGAUCCACUGUCCAUAAA